UCUACAGGAGUUUAUGAUUCUCCCUGUCGGGGCAUCUUCCUUCAAAGAAGCAAUGAAAAUGGGUGUAGAAGUGUACCAUCAUCUUAAGGCGGUGAUUAAAAAGAAGUACGGACAGGAUGCUACCAACGUUGGUGAUGAAGGUGGCUUUGCUCCUAAUAUCCAGG